rnacentral:rRNA from 1 species
AUUGAACGCUGGCGGCAUGCUUUACACAUGCAAGUAGAACGGCAGCACGGGCUUCGGCCUGGUGGCGAGUGGCGAACGGGUGAGUAAUACAUCGGAACGUACCCAGAAGUGGGGGAUAACGCAGCGAAAGUUGCGCUAAUACCGCAUACGUUCUACGGAAGAAAGUGGGGGAUCUUCGGAACUCAUGCUUUUGGAGCGGCCGAUGUCUGAUUAGCUAGUUGGGGGGGUAAAGGCUCACCAAGGCGACGAUCAGUAGCUGGUCUGAGCGGACGACCAGCCACACUGGAACUGAGACACGGUCCAGACUCCUACGGGAGGCAGCAGUGGGGAAUUUUGGACAAUGGGCGAAAGCCUGAUCCAGCAAUGCCGCGUGAGUGAAGAAGGCCUUCGGGUUGUAAAGCUCUUUUGUCAGGGAAGAAACGGCUCCGGCUAAUAUCUGGGGCUAAUGACGGUACCUGAAGAAUAAGCACCGGCUAACUACGUGCCAGCCGCCGCGGUAAUAC